UACAAUGGCGUAAACAAAGGGAAGCGAGACGGUGACGUUUAGCAAAUCCCAGAAAUAACGUCCCAGUUCGGAUUGUAGUCUGCAACCCGACUACAUGAAGCUGGAAUCGCUAGUAAUCGCGAAUCAGAAUGUCGCGGUGAAUACGUUCCCGGGUCUUGUACACACCGCCCGUCACACCAUGGGAGUCAGUAACGCCCGAAGCCGGUGACCCAACCAAAACAGGAGGGAGCCGUCGAAGGUGGGACCGAUAACUGGGGUGAAGUCGUAACAAGGUAAC
rnacentral:rRNA from 1 species